rnacentral:rRNA from 1 species
CGAAAGGUCGAAGGGAGAAAUUCAUUUCGCGUUUCGUAAUUGACGGCUGAUAGGAUUGUGUGACGAAAAUUGUUUCGGCAAUUUGCGCACCGCUUGUUUGUCGAUUCAGUUACGAACGUGUGCACUUUUCUCCUGGUAGGACGUCGCGAUCCGUUGGGUGUCGGUCUACGGUACGUGGUGGAGCCCAUUUGGCCAUUGGUCGAAUGGACCCACGUUAUUUCCUGACCGACUCGCUCGACGGUAUAAAAUUGUGGUUCGAGGCCGCUUCUUUGUAUAAGCGUCUGGCAUAUAGCAAGCGCGUUAGCUGGUUCGACAAUCGGACUUGGUGCCGAUUUCGAUCACUAAUGACUGUUGGCUAUAUUGUUCUUGGACACACCUCGUAA